UCCUCUGCCAUGUCGCAGUGCCACCUCUUUGCUUUCCAUUCCACUAGCUUAAUGGAGCCUCUGUCCUUCCAAGAAUGCAACACAGCAAACGGGAAGCUGAAACCCAUCAGGAAUGGCCCUGAUACAGAUCAGGGGGACAUUGGUGUAUAUGUGCAUGUAUCUGCGAAGUCCCUGCAGAAGACUCUCUGAACGCAAGGCAGGGAAGCCUCCCACGACUGAGCCAUGGUGUAGGGGCAGAAGAAAGUGGUGCCCAUCUCACUUGAGGAUUCCAAGGACUGGAAUGUGGACAUCGUUGAGACCAUUAUCUGCCUCCUCAACUCACUGGGCGUUGCUGCAGCUAUCAGAGAGGAUGCUGGCAGGAGAGGGCACCUGGAGCCUGUGGUGCCUGGUGGAGGAAUACAGCUACUAAGUGUGAGCUGGGAUCCCACAGUGAAGAACACCUAACCCUUACAUCAUCUGAUCCCACGUCCAUCUGCUCAUGGCCCACACCCAAUGCUGACCAAAUUUACCACAGGAAAAAGGCUUGGCAGCUGACAAUGGAGUUCAUCCAUGGCAGGUUCCUGGAACCCAGCACUGAUGAGCAAUGAGAGCCCUGAGACCUACGCAGCCCAACACCACAGUGAAAAGAUUCUGGGUCCAUGUCAGAUUAGCAUCUCUGGCUUCAUGGUUGCAGAGAGCUGGGAGGUCAGAACAUGGUAAGAGACUGGGCUAGAAUAGCCCCUCCACUGAGCCACAGGCUAGUCCUUCAGUUUGGCUCCAUGGUGGCAAGCCUGCCCAACCUUUUACACAGAGGACCAUGGAGAAUCUUCAGAAGAUGGUUCCCUGGACUUAGAGCUGCUCCCCACACUCUCAGGUGCUGCUCUCUGUCCCUAGGUCUUGCUAACCCUCUGUGAUCAUUGGCAGACUACAAAUAAUUUGAUGUGUCUAAUUACACCUAACACUCAGAGGGGAAAAGUUUCUUCCAGGAUGCUCAUGCCAGCAC